AACCUCGGGAAGCAUACGCAGAUUUAUGGCAAACCCAAGAGUAGUCCAGUCUAGGCAGCCUGUCCCCACUCGCCCCUUGUUUUUUAUUUUUAUUAGGUCCAAUUUCUCUGCUGCCUGCUUUUUUUCUUUAUCUGACAGGAACUUGCUAUCUUGGGACAUUUCGAGCUUGAGUAGGGCUCUGGCUCUCUCGAAAUCUGCAGGAAGCAGCUGUCCAGCAGAAAGGGCGCACGGCUGAGUCUAGAGUGGGUGUGGUUUGUUUCUGACAGCCUCACCCAGAAGCAGGACUUGUGAAGCCUUGGGGUGGAAGGGAAGUUUGUCUGUGUGAGGAUCAGCCAACUCCUUAGGAUACUUGGGAUCAUAUUCAUGGCUCUCAUGCGUGAAGUCUGGCUAUGGCUGCCUUAUCCUCUCAGGGGGUCAAAAGGUGUGCCUGCAGGUUGAAAACUAGGGAUGGUGCUGGUGGGAUAUGGAAGAAAUGUUUCCACUGUCCCCAGGGAAUCUUGUUGAUUUGACAAGUAGCUGCUCACCCACACAGCUCCAAGUCCAAAGACUCAACCAACCAAGGAUCAAAACACUCAAGUGAGUGCCUGAUCUGAACCUGCACAGGUUUUCCUCUUGAUUAAUUACUCCCUAAUUAACUGCUGUUCGCACACUACAAAUACUGUAUCUACUAUUACAAGUAACCCAGAGAUGAUUUAAAGUCCCCAGGGGGAUGUGUGGAGUUCAUAUGCAAAUAUUGUGCCCCAGCCCCUUUUGAGAUUGGGUCUCUUGUAGCCCACACUGGCAUCAAAGUUACUAUGUAUAGAAUGAUGAUGCUGAAUUUCUUGUCGUUAGCCUCCACCUGCAUAGUGCUGACAUUAAAGGCCUAUACCACCAUGCCCAGUUUAUAGGGAUGAAAUCCAGGGCUCUAUGCACGAUAGGCAAGUUCUCACCCAACCUAGCUGCUUCUCCACUCCAGCUAUGCCAUUUUAUAGGAGGGACUUGAACAUCCAUGGACUUCGGUACCCUGAGGGCCUGGAACCCCUGUUCUAAUUUGCAUCAUAAACAUUAUAGUUGGAGGGCCAGCAAGAUGCCUCAGCAGGUAUAAAGGCUUGCUGUAUAAGCCUGAAGACCUGAGUUCAGUUACCAGGAGCCACAUGGAAGACGAAGGAAACAGACUGCAGAGGGUUGUCUCUGGCUUUCACACAUGCACUAUGGCUGCGGAGGAACCGUCCCUGGCCCGGCCCUGCAUUAUAGCUUUGGCUGCGUUUCCAGACAGAAGAGGAAGUGGCGUUGUGUACCCAGAGCGGCUUGGCACACAGAAGGGGUUCUGGGAUCUAUUAUCUUCCAGCGCGGUGCAGGAAAGAGAACAAAGCACAGGGCUGUCCAGAAACCACAGACCUGUAAUCUUUCCAAAUCCUGAAGACGGCCUGUGCACCCCCAAACCCCAACCACACAGCUCCCAAACCUGUCGUUCUUCUAGAGGCAGGGAGAGCCUGUGUACCAGAUCACAGCCAAAAGGGGAAGAAAGAUCUGCUCUGUUUGGUCUCCAUAGAUUCGACCCAGAGAUUAACUGCCAAGGUCUCCAUGACAUACCAUAUCAAUCACAGGCUAACUGUCAUAAUGAGAGCUGGGCAGGCUGUCAAGACAGGCUUCCAGAUUCCUGCUACAGCUUCAUCCUUAAAGAUUUGGACCGGAGGAAUCAAAUGCCAGUUUUGAAGGCUUCUUGGCCUGUGAGAGCAUCCUUCUCAGAGAAACAGAAGCCAAUGCCGGCACCUUCACAAAGCAGACAGGUCGAUGACAUAAUUAGCAUAGAGGAAGGAAGUAGAUGGAUACUAAAGAACAAACAAUAACUUGACUAUUAGUGGUAAAGAAGAAGUGUUAGGGAGUAGUGGGGACUGCAGUACACUAAAGAGCCGGUGCCCCCUCUGAUAUGGGACAGCAAACUGUCAUUCCAUGUGGGAAUGCAACCCAGAUUUUUAUAUUGUUUAUAGAUAUAUAUGUUUUUACAUUUUAUUUACUUUGUGGGGUGCAUGUCAUAAUACUUGUGUACUUAGUACACAUAGCACAUGUGGAAACCAGCCUGGUCUACAUAGCAAGCUCCAGGCCAUCUAGGGGUCUAGAGUGGGACCCCCAUCUCAAGAGGAAGGAGGAGGAGGUCAUUGGGGAGAAGAGACCAGAGGUUAUGAAGCCACAUGUAUGUGGUAAUUCUGUGUUUCUAGAAAGACACAUGAUUGACACUGGCUGUGUGCUUGUGGUAGUGCAGUGAAAUUAUGUCUGACCUUGUUUUCUUUGUAAGUGACCGUCGUCUCAGUGUCUCUGCUAUGUGCGCAUGACAUCAGCACACGGAGGGAGAAAUCACCCCAAAUCCCACACAAGUUCUGCUUUAGGGUCAUCAUGUAUGCAGGAGGUACUCACCCUGAAACCGAGGGCUGCCUUCCUGGGGGCCCUGGAGCAGUUGUGUGUCAUCUAUCCUACAGGCCUCUGGGGCAGCAGUCAGGCCUAGGCCCUGUGCUUGCUGGGAAAUCAUGGGCUUCCAGUCUGUAGGCGGCCCAAAGCUGGCAUAGCGUCUUUAGGAAAAAGAUGCCUGGUGAGCAGGCCCAAGACCAUGUAAGAGGCUGUGCAGGGAUGCAGCUCUGAUGCAGCCUGAGGGAAAUUCCUUCCUCCUGCCUGCCCACAGAGGCAGAGGGCAGCUCCCUCCCACUCCCAUCCCAGUGGGAGAGCAAGGGCCCUGUACUUCCCUUCAGCCUGGACUUGGCUCUGGCUGAGCCAGUGACCUUAAGGACACUCUGGGGUCAUUAGUGAAGUGGGAGUAGCACCAUUUUCUCCGUGACUUGACCUUCCAAGUUACAUAUGUGUCAUAUAUCAAACACAGGACAAGGCCUGCCAGGUCAGUGUGAGAGAGGAUUGGGCAGUAGCUAGAUAGACAGGGCCACAAAGAUCUAGAAAUUUUUGACCUUAAUUUGGCUUUAUGACUUUUUUCUUUUAAAUCUGCUCUUGGUACUGGAGAGAAUUAGUUCUGCUGAAAAAAAAAAAAAACCAUGAGUUUUUUUUCAGGCCUCAUGUACAAAGCUGAGCACGACCAUAUGAGCUUAUUAGCCCAUUACUGUGGGAUGGUAGAGACAGGAGGAUUACUGGAGCUGGCUGACUAUAGGCCCAGCAGCUCCAGGUCAAUAAGAGACGAUGUCUCAAGGACUGAGGAGAAGAGUGAUAGAGCGGCAGAGCCAGCAUCACCUCUGACCAUGCAUGUGUGCAUGCAUGCUCACACACACACACACACACACACACACACACACACUCAUACACUCAUACAUACACACAUACGCACACUCACAUACUUUUUUGAAAACCUUCUGCCCUCUUUUCAGAGAAACCUGUGGAUAUUUGUGUUCCUGGGGGAAAGUUAGUUCCAAUUUAAAUGCAAUGUACACCACAUUUCUUCCUCAACCCUAUCGGAGUUGGGUCUGGAGUGUUCUCUGAGAGGAGGGAGUGAGAACACUGUUGCAUAAACAGUUAGCUGAACAAUACCUACUGCUGGAUUUGGGAUUUGGCACGAGUGUCCUUAUAUAAGUAUAUACAUAUUUUCAAUUUGCCUCAAGUCAUUCCUUGUCUUUAUGCAUGUUAAAUCUACCAAAAUGAGGCCAACCACAACAUAAAAUCUGUGGAUUUUUUUUUAAAAUUAAAACUUGGACAAG